GUGGGGAAUAUUGGACAAUGGGGGCAACCCUGAUCCAGCAAUGCCGCGUGAGUGAUGAAGGCCUUCGGGUCGUAAAGCUCUUUUACCAGGGAUGAUAAUGACAGUACCUGGAGAAUAAGCUCCGGCUAACUCCGUGCCAGCAGCCGCGGUAAUACGGAGGGAGCUAGCGUUGUUCGGAAUUACUGGGCGUAAAGCGCGCGUAGGCGGCGAAUCAAGUCAGGGGUGAAAUCCCGGGGCUCAACCCCGGAACUGCCCUUGAAACUAGCUCGCUAGAAUCUUGGAGAGGUCAGUGGAAUUCCGAGUGUAGAGGUGAAAUUCGUAGAUAUUGGGAAGAACACCAGUGGCGAAGGCGGCUAUCUGGACCGGUACUGACGCUGAGGUGCGAAAGCGUGGGGAGCAAA
rnacentral:rRNA from 1 species